GUUUUGGAACCAUUCGAAACAACACAGCUCUAAAAC
rnacentral:other from 19 species